rnacentral:rRNA from 1 species
UGAGGAAUAUUGGUCAAUGGGGGCAACCCUGAACCAGCCAAGUCGCGUGAGGGAUGAAGGUCUUAUGGAUUGUAAACUUCUUUUAUACAGGAAUAAAUUGGGGGACGUGUCCCCUUUUGCAUGUACUGUAUGAAUAAGGAUCGGCUAACUCCGUGCCAGCAGCCGCGGUAAUACGGAGGAUCCGAGCGUUAUCCGGAUUUAUUGGGUUUAAAGGGUGCGCAGGCGGGAUGUUAAGUCGGCGGUGAAAUUUUGCAGCUCAACUGUAAAAGUGCCUUGGAUACUGGCUUCCUUGAGUGUGGAUGAAGUAGGCGGAAUUUGUGGUGUAGCGGUGAAAUGCUUAGAUAUCACGAGGAACUCCGAUUGCGCAGGCAGCUUACUAAGCCACAACUGACGCUCAUGCACGAAGGCGUGGGGAUCAAACA